CAGGUCUCCUCUUUAUGGUCUCUGGCUCAUCACCAGGUCUCCUCUUUAUGGUCUCUGGCUCAUCACCAGGUCUCCUCUUUAUGGUCUCUGGCUCAUCACCAGGUCUCCUCUUUAUGGUCUCUGGCUCAUCACCAGGUCUCCUCUUUAUGGUUUCUGGCUCAUCACCUGGUCUCCUCUUUAUGGUUUCUGGCUCAUCACCUGGUCUCCUCUUUAUGGUUUCUGGCUCAUCACCUGGUCUCCUCUUUAUGGUUUCUGGCUCAUCACCUGGUCUCCUCUUUAUGGUUUCUGGCUCAUCACCAGGUCUCCUCUUUAUGGUUUCUGGCUCAUCACCAGGUCUCCUCUUUAUUCCCUCUGGCUCAUCACCAGGUCUCCUCUUUAUGGUCUCUGGCUCAUC